rnacentral:rRNA from 1 species
GUCGAACGAGGCCCUUCGGGGUUUAGUGGCGCACGGGUGCGUAACGCGUGGGAAUCUGCCCUUUGGUUCGGAAUAACAGCUGGAAACGGCUGCUAAUACCGGAUGAUGACGAAAGUCCAAAGAUUUAUCGCCAGAGGAUGAGCCCGCGUUGGAUUAGGUAGUUGGUGGGGUAAAGGCCUACCAAGCCGACGAUCCAUAGCUGGUCUGAGAGGAUGAUCAGCCACACUGGGACUGAGACACGGCCCAGACUCCUACGGGAGGCAGCAGUGGGGAAUAUUGGACAAUGGGCGAAAGCCUGAUCCAGCAAUGCCGCGUGAGUGAUGAAGGCCCUAGGGUUGUAAAGCUCUUUUACCCGGGAAGAUAAUGACUGUACCGGGAGAAUAAGCCCCGGCUAACUCCGUGCCAGCAGCCGCGGUAAUACGGAGGGGGCUAGCGUUGUUCGGAAUUACUGGGCGUAAAGCGCACGUAGGCGGCUUUGUAAGUCAGAGGUGAAAGCCUGGAGCUCAACUCCAGAACUGCCUUUGAGACUGCAUCGCUUGAAUCCAGGAGAGGUCAGUGGAAUUCCGAGUGUAGAGGUGAAAUUCCGUAGAUAUUCGGAAGAACACCAGUGGCAAGGCGGCUGACUGGACUGGUAUUGACGCUGAGUGCAAGCUUG